UACGUAGGGUGCGAGCGUUGUCCGGAAUUACUGGGCGUAAAGCGCGUGUAGGCGGAUGGGCAAGUCUGCUGUGAAAGCUCCUGGCUUAACCGGGAGUGGUCGGUGGAAACUGCUAAUCUGGAGGACGGUAGAGGUAGGUAGAAUUCCCGGUGUAGUGGUGAAAUGCGUAGAGAUCGGGAGGAAUACCUGUGGCGAAGGCGGCCUACUGGGCCGGACCUGACGCUGAGACGCGAAGGCGUGGGGAGCGAACGGG
rnacentral:rRNA from 1 species